CUUGUCUAGAUCUAUAGGUAUGUCUUGUCAGAUAUAUUUUUAGUUGGUUAAAUAUUAUGCAUUGGUUUUAUUGUACUUGACAAUUGCAUUUUAGGUGAUUUUCAUUUCAAGUCGAAUGAAUGUUUGCUCCGUACACAACAGAUUGUGACAUGUACCCCAAGUAUCCACACUGAGGAAAUAACUGAUGAUUCAAAGCAUCUUCUUAUAGCCACUAGUGCUUUCUGGGACACCAUCUCAUGUCAGAGUGCUGUUAACUAUUUGAGGCAGUAUUCCGGGUCCUACAGUCUUGCUAGCAUCUGUGACAAGCUUCUGAAUCAAAUUAAAAACCCAGUGGACAACCUGACACUGAUGCUGAUCUACUUUAAGCCCAGCGCCAGGCUCCCUCCUACUGCCCCGCCUGCACCCAUGUUU